GUAGUCGCGAAUAUCUCCUUCUUCCCUAAUCCAAGAUUGGAGAAAGAAGAUCUAAGAGGGACCUAUGGAGAAUGUAGUCAGAAAUCCAUUCUUUCGAUUUCGAUUAGAUACUUUUUUCUUUUUUUAGUAAAUUGGUAUUUGCUUCCGGGUUAA
rnacentral:rRNA from 1 species